CCUCAUUUAAGGAUUGAGAGUGGAGGUGAGGGUAUUUUGCUUGAGAUCCAUGCCUACCUGAGUCUUUCUGAAGGGUUGUCUAUUACUGCCUUCAACUGAGCAGCUCACCUGGCACCAUGGAAGACCCUGCUGGUGGUUACUACUGCAAAGGAUCCUUCCUGCCCCAAAGAACCAAGAAUGCGCAGAUUCUGCAGUAUAUGACUUUUCAGUUCAGAAAUACUUAUUUUCCAAGCAAUAUAUAGACAGCUGACAACCUGCAGGGCUGCAAUGGUACUUCCCUGUCUUGGGUUAUGCUUCUACUCUGAAUGCAACAGUGUUUAUAGCAGAGCAUGACUGGACCACAUUUCUGGGAUCGUCUGAGAUGAAAGGCGCUCCACAUGAGUAGUUAUCAUUAUUUGUUAUUAUUCUUUCACUGAUCCACUUUGGAAGACAGAUGUGCAUUCUCUCUCCCCCUGAGAACUGAUGAAACAUGAAAAUCACUUCUUAGAUAAGAAACCCCCACAAAGUCAACACGAUACGUUGUGAGUUAUUUGGUUUCUAAUCUCUGAAACUGAGCCAGGUCAAACAGACACAGCUCCUCUGAUAAACUGUUAUUCUUAGAGAUUUCAUCCUUCUAUGGAAAAGUACUGAGCUGGCUCUCUGAUCUCCUCUUACACUGUCAUCAGCAUACAGCCGCGGGCCAGUGGAAAAUUGGAGAAAACCAGCUGCAUGUAGAGUGUUAAGGGUAUUAUUUUUAGAUGCUUCGUUUCUUUCUGACUACACACGCUUCCCUGUGGAAAACAAGGCUGUCUAUCUUACUGACUUAUAGGCAGCUGCUCCAUUAUGCACGUUGAAGAUGUCCUUUAGAAAUGAGGUGCUAAACAAGAUAAAUAGAAGAAAAAGUGAUAUGUACACUUGUAUGUACAUAUGUACAGCUUGAGAGUUGAGGGAGAUUUGAGGGUGAAUUCAGGGGAGUCUUUGGAAAGCAAGCAAGCCCUCCUUUCAAUGGAUACGUGAAUUUGAGGGAGUAAUUCAGUUUCAGUUUCCCUUUUUCUAUGACUGGGGAAUUUCCUUUCUUAUUUUCCGUAGCUGUUUUGACAUUUUAGCAAGUAUCAACACUGAAUACUGGCUUUCCUUGCAAACACUGAUCUACUAUCAUAACAGAGCUGCUAAAGAGAUGAAUCUCCAGUCCAUA